CUUGAAGCUGCAUACAGUUGCUCAACACAGGCAAACUGACACUGAGAAGGACAAACAAAAGAUUUCAUUUCUGCACCAUGAAGAUGCUGACUGUGUUUCUGCAUGUGUGUGUCAUGAUGACUUUCACACACAGUCUGUCUCUUCCAGAGGAAACAACCAUGCCAGAUGUAGACAAUUGGGGAACACCGCCACCAUCUACAGAAGGUGAGUACUUAUUGGAGUAUGUGAUUUUAUUUUAUUCUAUUUUAUUUUUUUCCUUCUUUAAAAUUAAAGUUGAGCAUAAGAAAAAUCUAUACUGUACAGUCGUGGCCAAAAGUUGUGAAAACAAGUAUUUCUGUCAUUCUCAAAAAGUUUGCUGCUUCAGUUUUUAUGAUAGCAAUUUCCAUAUACUCUACAGUAGAAUGUUUUGGAGAGUGAUCAGAUGAAUUGCAAAAUCCUUAUUUGCCAUGAAAAUGAACUUAAUCUCAAAAAUUCAAU